CCAGAUUAAAACUCAAUCAAAUAAAUUGCAUAGAUCCUUCGAUCUAUUUAAAUCGAGGGAAUUCACAUAGUGCUUUCUCUUUAUAUCGUAUAAAAUAUCCUCCCAAUAUUUUACGAAGCUAAAAUAAUUAUUCCAUUGAUUUGGAAUCAAGCACAACACACUUGCAAUUUCAAUCAAAUGCCUUUUCUACUUCAAGUUUGACCUCCAAACCUUGUCUAUAAUUCUUUCUCCAUUUACCGAAGCCCCACAAAAAUUCUCAAUAUUUUUGGACCUUCCUAGCACCUAAUUCCUAUUCAAACCCAUUUGAAUUAAAUUCAAAUGAGUUUGGUUUUAAAACUUUCAACAAGUCCCACUUCUCAUUUUUGCGAGUCCAGAAAAACUGAUCGCAUGCCCAAAUUCUUCUUCUAAUCGUUUCUUCUCUCCUUUUCUUUCUCCCAUUUCUCUGUUAAUGAAAAGAGAAGGAAGAGGAGAGAAGCCCAGACAGCUGGACCUCCUGGACAUUUUUGCCUCUCAACCACGGCCCAGCCCUCUCCUCCUAUGACCACCCUGAUCCCCUCGCUCUCUCCCUCACACCAUUCACACGCCACCACUCGACUCUCUCCAUACUCGUAUGGAUCGGGAGAGGUUUCCGUUCCUCUGCCGCUGGCCGACAAUAGGAGGGCUGCCGCCUUGCGCUCCUUCUUCUAUUAUGUUAUAUGAACUGUUCAAAAACAUGGUAUUUUGAUUUUCACCAAGGGUCCCAAAUUCCUGGUGACAGCCUUGAUCAAAUAGAGCACCAAAAAUUGUCCAUUAUUGGAACUUGCAUGCCUGUCAGAAGAAGGUUUUAUUACUAGACCACAUCAUUAUCCAUCGUUGAACAUCAUGACCUAGUGCAACUCAUUUUCUCAUGGAGUCACAAACGACACAGCAACAAUGCCAAAAGUUGGGGAUGGCUUCCCUACAGUAAGAUUUCGAGACUUCGGGUCCCCAUUUUCUCAUGCAGGACAACUGACAUUUUAAUUUCGUGCAGAAAGUGUCUCCAAAUACAACUCCAGUAAAGCAUUUUUCUGUAGAAAAGAACACACGUCAUUAAAAGAAUCCAUAUAUUGAGGAAAAUCAAAGAAAAUUUGUGUAGUUUGGCUGCAAAUAUUAUUUUGCUCUAAUUAACAUGAGAAAGGAAACAAAUAGGGAAAGGGAGAUCAAUUUCAUACCAACAGGAAUGGAAUUUCCGAGCUGCGCAAUAACCAUGAGGCAAAGAAGAAUAGCUUUCCCUUCCAUACGAGGAGACACAAAGUUCUUCUUCUCCUCUCUGUUUGGUCGUCCAAAAACUUACAUGAUUAUAUCUUUAUAUAUGGG
rnacentral:lncRNA from 1 species